rnacentral:rRNA from 1 species
GACGAACGCUGGCGGCGUGCUUAACACAUGCAAGUCGAACGGAAAGGCCCUGCUUUUGUGGGGUGCUCGAGUGGCGAACGGGUGAGUAACACGUGAGUAACCUGCCCUUGACUUUGGGAUAACUUCAGGAAACUGGGGCUAAUACCGGAUAGGAGCUCCUGCUGCAUGGUGGGGGUUGGAAAGUUUCGGCGGUUGGGGAUGGACUCGCGGCUUAUCAGCUUGUUGGUGGGGUAGUGGCUUACCAAGGCUUUGACGGGUAGCCGGCCUGAGAGGGUGACCGGCCACAUUGGGACUGAGAUACGGCCCAGACUCCUACGGGAGGCAGCGGUGGGGAAUAUUGCACAGUGGGCGGAAGCCUGAUGCAGCAACGCCGCGUGCGGGAUGACGGCCUUCGGGUUGUAAACCGCUUUCGCCUGUGACGAAGCGUGAGUGACGGUAAUGGGUAAAGAAGCACCGGCUAACUACGUG